UAGUUUACCGGAACGGUCUGGAAUGGCCGGCGAGAUGGGUGACAGCCCCGUACAGGACGGAAGAACGACAGGACUCGAGUAGGGCGGGACACGUGAAAUCCUGUCUGAACAUGGGGGGACCACCCUCCAAGCCUAAGUACUCCUCAGCGACCGAUAGCGAACAAGUACCGUGAGGGAAAGGUGAAAAGCACCCCGACAAGGGGAGUGAAAUAGAACCUGAAACCGGAUGCCUACAAACAGUCGGAGCCCGCAAGGGUGACGGCGUACCUCUUGUAUAAUGGGUCAUCGACUUAGUCUAACUAGCAAGCUUAAGCCGUUAGGUGUAGGCGCAGCGAAAGCGAGUCUGAAUAGGGCGUUAAGUUAGUUGGAUUAGACCCGAAACCAAGUGAUCUAGGUAUGAGCAGGCUGAAGGUAAGGUAACACUUACUGGAGGGCCGAACCCACGUAAGUUGAAAAUUACGGGGAUGACUUGUUCCUAGGGGUGAAAGGCCAAUCAAACUCGGAGAUAGCUGGUUCUCCGCGAAAUCUAUUGAGGU
rnacentral:rRNA from 15 species